rnacentral:ncRNA from 1 species
AGGGGCGCUAAAGUAUGUCUCCCAAAAGUGGGCACCGGUUUUGGGACAAAGACAUGCGAAAGCAAAAAUCUACAGCAGGCCGCAUGAAUCCGAAACAACGCGACCUGCUGUAGGUGCGCUGCUUUUAAGA